UGGAUUUUGAUUGUCUGUCAAUGUUUUUAUUGUUCAUCAGAUGGAAAAUAAUUGCUUUGAAAGUGAUUCCAACAUCGUUCCUCUGUAGUUAUCAUUAUACAGAAGGUGUGGAAAUGUUUUGGAUUUUGUAUUGUCUGUCAAUGUUUUUAUUGUUCUAUCAGAUGGAAAUAAUUUGCUUUGAAAGUGAUUCCAACAUCGUUCCUCUGUAGUUAUCAUUAUACAGAAGGUGUGGAAAUGUUUUAGUUAUAUUCACUGUCCUCUGUGUGAACGGGCUUUAAAUAUCAGCAUGUAUCAGUACUGUAAAAGUAUGUUUAUAUUCUGUGAUGUCUGUGCAAACAUUUUAGCAAUUUGUGUGGUAGUGUCUUUAAAUUUUAAAGCUCUUGGUCAGUAUUAUUAAUCACACAUAAUAUAAUAAUUUUGUUAUGCUUUAGUGUGUGUAUUUCAGUUAAUUUGAUAAUAUAUUCUAACAAUAAAGUGUUAUAUUAGUAUCAUUGAUGUACUAUUAUUGUUUUUGUUAAUAUUUUGUAUUUAGUAUUUUAUUUUUAUUUUUUCUAGUUUUCAUUUUAAAUUUUAGUUAAAGCUUCAGUAAUUUUUGUUUUGUUUUUGUCAGUCUAAUAAUAAUAAUAAUUAUUUAUUUUUUUUAAAUAUAUCUUUUUUUUAAGUUUUAGUUUCUGAUAUUUUACGCUGAUAUCACACACACACACACACACACACACACACACACACACAGUCAGUAUUCGAGUGAACGCCUAUAUGAUGGCCGGAAGCCUCCAUUUCCUCCUCCUGUCACUCUGUGUUUUGUUGGAACCUGUGACAGAAAUCGGUGGUUUGCUUCUGAAACCAGUUCUGUCUGGACCCAGUGAGGCCUAUGUGAGAUCUGAAGUUCAGUUUGACUGUGCAGUUCCAGGCUGGUCUUCACCCCUGACCUUUGAACUCCGGAAGGAUGCAGGGGACCUUAUUGCAGCAGAAAACAACGUCAAAGUCACCUUCACCCUACAGGUCACCGAGGGGUCAGAGGGCGAGUACUACUGCAGACUGACCGCCGGAGGUCAAACCAGCAACUCGAUCCACUUCCAAGCAGUGAUUCCUGUCAUAGGAGCCCAAUUGAGCUCAGAUCCCGAUCCAGCGAUCAUCUAUGAAGGACAGAAGCUUGUCCUGCGCUGUCUCGUCAGGAAGGGGACGCAUCUGUCCUUCACAUGGUACCACAACACACAGGAAUUGGACUCCUCUUCAGAGCUCCACCGGCUCUCUGGAGACGCUCUCACGGUGGACGGGGCGACUGAAAUGCAUGCUGGGAUAUACUCAUGCACCGCUCAAAACCAGAUGACGGUCAACCCCAGAUUCUCCAGCAGCCGAAACCUCCUCGUCACGGUCAAAAAGCACAUCUCUGUGCCCUCGUUAUCGUUUACGGUCUUCUCUAACGGCUCCGGCCUAACAGCCAACAUCAGCUGCCGUUCUGAGCGCGGAUCUGCGCCCGUGACGUUCAGACUGAUGUUGGACGGACUGGAGCUGGAUGUGAAGCGAGAGGAUUCACUGGAGUCCUGGUUCGUUCUGCCGGUCUCUGUGGGUCUGGAUCUGGGAGUCGCUCAAUGUGAAGCACAAACAGAAACACAGCAGCUGCUGUCGGAUCCCGUGCGUUUACUCGUAGUUUCAGUAGGUGGCGCUGUGCGUGUCACAGUAACGUACCUCUACGACGCCGACGGGACGGUGGCAGCCGCUCGGCUCAAAUGCGUCCCAGACAGAGGAACGUUUCCCACAUUCUCCUGGUGUCUGAACCGUUCCUCCCUUCCAGCAGAGGGCGCUGCUCAUGCGGUCACUCAUCACGGUCAGAUCUUGAUCCUCACAGAAGUCAGUGCUGGGUUUUACGGCUGCAGGGUGAGGGACAGUUUUAACGACAGCUCAGUCUGGGUGUUGAGCGAGGACAUCUUUAUUCAGAAGACAGAUUUGGCAGCGACGCCCAUAGAGGUGAUUGCGUUGGUCUUCUGUGGUUUUCUGUCGAUUGUGAUUGUGUUAUGCUCAUUCUUUAUGUUCUGGAGCACCAAGAACAGAAACAACACCUGCAAACAUCACAGUAACCAGGACGUGAUCCAGUCUGAGAUGAUAACAAUGGACGUUCCUGUAGCUGAUGUUUCCUCUGAACCCCAACCUGUGGAAAUGAAAACCGUCAUCAGGGAGUUUGAGGCCUAGAGGUCUAGACCAGACCAGACCUGGAGCCAGUGUCCUGCAGAGAGUCUACUAAUCCUAAACACUUUGAUUAGCUGGUUCAGGUGUGUUUAAUUAAGGUUAAAGAUGAACUCUGACUGGACAUCAAUCACUACUGUUUUCUAUCAAUGAGAUUGUAAGGCUUGUAUAUACCAAAUAAAUGUUUAAUUUACCAAAUGCUUUUACUGAAUAUGCUUCUAUAGAGACAGAUUCCUAAUGAAAACAUCUCUCAUAAGGCAGUUUUUAUAUUUAAUUAUAUAGUCAUGUUCAUAUUUCGUUGUUUAAAUAUAAUCCUCUAAACAGUAGCUGUCAUAAAAACUUUGAUUUAUUCAAACAUAAGUUAAAUAAUGAAGCCGUUGCAUAAAAAAUCCAUUGAAUGUGUUAUAGAAUGAAUAAAAUGCUCCUCUCUAGAGCUGAAUAUGGAGUUUAUGCUCACUGAAGUGUUUUUCCGAAUGUGAAUGUUAUUGUUUACAAGCUGUUACUUACCUCUUGAAACACUGUUUGAAUGAUUACAUGAGAUAUGAUUUAUUUCUGUGAGUUGUUCUGUUUCCUUCAAUAUACCUUCUGAUGAUUGUUCAUGUUUAUUUUGUGUUAUAACUAGUAGUAAAGCCGAAGAGAUGAUGAUCGGUUGAGGCUACAGCGGUCUCAUGCCAAAAUGGCAUUUCCUGUUUGAAUUUCUUAAUCAGUUUGAUAGAAUUUUGAUGGAAUUUAGAUCUUGAGAUUUAAGAAUUGAUAUUAAGAUUAAUCGAUGAAUUUAUAUAACCGUUAACCAAGCCCUCAGUUUAUGUUGGGAUUUUUUACAACUUUACACUUUGCGCUGUUGCCAAACUCGGUGUACUGAACCGAGGUCACAUACUAAGUUUUAAUAAUAUGUCAAGAAGAGACUUACGUAUUUGGUGUUUUGCCAGUUUUGUUGGUGCAUAAAAGAAAAAUGAUUUUAAAAUACCAAAAGCAGCUUUUGUCCAGCAUAGAUACCUGACCAAACCUGGAGGAAUCUGAAAAAAAAACUAAAAAAAAAAAAAAAAAAAAAACGUUAGAACUAAAUUAGUUAAAAUAAAUUAAUAAAUAAUAGAGUCAUGAUUUAUAACUUUCCCAUACUAGAAAAUGUUCCCUAGCAUAGAUACUGAACCAACUGGAAGAAUCAGAAAAAACUAAAAAAAAAAAAAAAAAACGUUUAAGAACUAAAUUGUUUAAAAUAAAUUAUAAAUAAUAGAGUCAUGAUUUAUAAUUUCCCCAUACUGAAAAUGUUCAUCUCACUAUACAACUGACUAAACUUUACCAAAUGUCUUAUACAACAAUGUUUGACAGACAUUAAUGAACAAACACACACUCAGGCUGCAUUGGUGCAGUAACACUUAUAAUGACGUAUAUUGAUUAUAUGAGUGCAGUGCAUUGGUCAUUUAUGUAGAUGUUCUCUACAAUCCUCCAUGCCAAUCUUGAGUUGUCAUUUGCGCUGGCAUCUGCCCUAUCUGUCCUCAACACAUGUGCUGUUUAGGGUGGGUCUCACUGAGUCCGUGUCAACCUGCUUUCACUGCUCCAUUAAUAAUGAAGUUCUUCUCUGGAUAUUGUGCUCAUUUCUUCAGCAAGGAUGGAAUCGAGGCAUACACACUUAUUCUCAUAG
rnacentral:lncRNA from 1 species